rnacentral:lncRNA from 1 species
GCUAGGGUCUCUCGCCGGCCCCGCCCUCCGACUCCCGCCGAGUUGAACCCCGCGACCCGCAGCCCCCGCCCUCUCGGCCCUCUCCGGCCCCGCGCCGGCGGACAAAGCUCCGGACACCCCGACCAAACGGUCACCUCCCCCCGCCCCAUCCCGGCCGGCCCGCGGCCUCGUACCUCGGCAUCACGGCCGGGUCCUAGAUGCCUUGAGCGUGAUUCCUGAGAAUGCUGUCUCUGAACUCCCACUACACCAUGACCGUGGCUCCCUCACCAUGGCCCUGAGCUGUGCCAGAGAGAAUGGGUUAUUCAGUGAGAACCUUGAACUUAUGUGCCCAGACCUCCCCUCCAAUCUACUAGGAGUGCAGAAGGAUCUGCAACAGGUAUGCUGUAGUGGUGGUCAGGACACCCCUGCCUGAACUUCACCCAUGACCCUUGUCCUCACCCCCACCCCAGGGGUCAUAGUCCAGUGAGGGUGAGCUGGUCAGAGUGGACCCUAAAUCAAUCCCAGACCUUCCCGGCCGGCUCUGAGUUAUGAGCUGUGGGCUUUGUGAUGUAGAUCAUGGUUGAGGAGUAGGGGGCAUGACCUAUGGCAGGUCACACAGGACCCCUAGAAGGGGCCAGAGCUGGGGUCAGAGGCCACCUCCUUCAUUCUCUGUCCUGCUCUACUGGGUCCCAUCCUGAAUCUAGUCCUUCAGCUGGGCUGGACCAUUUCCCCACUGACUGCUGGCUCCAGCUGUAACUGCCACCAAGCCUGGAGGCUGGGAGGAGAGGGGCUUCUGCUGGAAAAAGAUCCCAGAAGAAAGGAAAGGGAUGAGAUGCACAAUAUUUGGUUCCCUAGAGGUGGCUGGUCCAUGCUCCAAACCAGCCUCAAAAGUCUCCUGAGUUCCUUCUCUGUAAAUUUGCCCCUGCACCUUCCCCUUCCCCCACCCCACCGCAACCUUCUCUUCUGAUUGAAUUCCACAAGUCAAGACUCCGGGCAAAAAUCCAGCCCAAAGGAUUAGAUGGCUGGAGAUUAGGCAUGGCAGUCAAAGAGCAAGUUAGGGAGAACCAAGCCAUGCUCCAAACAGUGUAUGUUAUCAGGGCUUAAGAGAGAGCAUCAGAGGGAGAGAGAGAUGGAAAGAGCCAGACGGCGAGAUGAGAAAGAUCAAGCUGAAGAAAAGGGGACAGGAAAACAGAAAGAGGAGUACCAGCAGAAGACACUGAAGACAGCUAUUGAGAAAUAGGAGCGGCAGGCAAAGGAACAUCCUUGUGAACUCCUGUCAGACCCCAGAGGCUGAGAGGCCCAAAGGAGGGUAAUCCAUAAAGUGCCUUUGCUUUUAAUCCUUAAGACCAGCAGCCUGAGA